CCUACGGGUGACAGCAGUGGGGAAUAUUGCACAAUGGGGGAAACCCUGAUGCAGCAACGCCGCGUGAGUGAAGAAGUAUCUCGGUAUGUAAAGCUCUAUCAGCAGGGAAUAGAAUGACGGUACCUGACUAAGAAGCCCCGGCUAACUACGUGCCAGCAGCCGCGGUAAUACGUAGGGGGCGAGCGUUAUCCGGAUUUACUGGGUGUAAAGGGAGCGUAGACGGGUCUGCAAGUCAGAAGUGAAAGCCCGUGGCUUAACCGCGGAACGGCUAUGGAAACUGUGGAACUGGAGUGCUGGAGAGGCAGGCGGAAUUCCUGGUGUAGCGGUGAAAUGCGUAGAUAUUAGGAAGAACACCAGUGGCGAAGGCAGCUUGCUAAACAGUAACUGACAUUGAGGCUCGAAAGCGUGGGGAGCAAACAGGAUUAGAUACCCUGGUAGUC
rnacentral:rRNA from 1 species